rnacentral:rRNA from 1 species
GUGGUAAUGCCGGAUGCUCCGACUCCUCGCAUGGGGUGUCGGGAAAGAUUCAUCGGUAUGGGAUGGGGUCGCGUCCUAUCAGGUAGUCGGCGGGGUAACGGCCCACCGAGCCUACGACGGGUAGCCGGCCUGAGAGGGCGACCGGCCACAUUGGGACUGAGAUACGGCCCAGACUCCUACGGGAGGCAGCAGUGGGGAAUAUUGCACAAUGGGCGCAAGCCUGAUGCAGCGACGCCGCGUGCGGGAUGACGGCCUUCGGGUUGUAAACCGCUUUUGAUCGGGAGCAAGCCUUCGGGUGAGUGUACCUUUCGAAUAAGCACCGGCUAACUACGUGCCAGCAGCCGCGGUAAUACGUAGGGUGCAAGCGUUAUCCGGAAUUAUUGGGCGUAAAGGGCUCGUAGGCGGUUCGUCGCGUCCGGUGUGAAAGUCCAUCGCUUAACGGUGGAUCUGCGCCGGGUACGGGCGGGCUGGAGUGCGGUAGGGGAGACUGGAAUUCCCGGUGUAACGGUGGAAUGUGUAGAUAUCGG